UGCGCUUUAUUUAUUUACGGAUUUAUUUAAUGUUUCCUCUUCUUUCCUCGAUAUUCCUUCCUCUAUAAUUUAUGGCUGAAAGGCGCUGCCCGCAGAAGCUAAGCUCAUGCUUUUCAGUUUAUUAUCCUUCUUCCAUUUCAUCCUCCUGUUCUGGAACCAGAUUUUGAUCUGCCUCUCGGAGAGGCACAGAGCGUGAGCGAUCUCUAUUCUCCUCCUGCGGGUGAGAUAUCUAUUGAAGUGGAAUUCCUUUUCCAACUCCAGGGUCUGGUAGCGAGUGUACGCUGUCCUCGCCCUCUUCCCGUCUGGUCCAGUCAUGUCAUGGCUAAUGUGAAGUUUCCUCAUCCAAGGGAAUAUCUGAGGUGCCUGCCCUUCUGUUGCUGCCGUGGAGGUUGCGAUGGGCUCUGCCUGCGCUCGGGGGAUGCUGCUGCUUAUUGGAGUGCCCUCGUCGGCUCCCGAGGACGCGCUGGUCUCGUCUAGUUCUGUGAAAUUUGUGUUGGUGCUGGCAGAAG
rnacentral:lncRNA from 1 species